CUAUGCGCCUUGCCAGCCCGCUCAGGUGUGCCAGCAGCCGCGGUAAUACGGAGGAUGCGAGCGUUAUCCGGAUUUAUGGGUUUAAAGGGUGCGUAGGCGGGAUGCCAAGUCAGCGGUAAAAAUGCGGUGCUCAACGCCGUCGAGCCGUUGAAACUGGCGUUCUUGAGUGGGCGAGAAGUAUGCGGAAUGCGUGGUGUAGCGGUGAAAUGCAUAGAUAUCACGCAGAACUCCGAUUGCGAAGGCAGCAUACCGGCGCCCUACUGACGCUGAGGCACGAAAGCGUGGGUAUCGAACAGG
rnacentral:rRNA from 1 species